rnacentral:lncRNA from 12 species
GCCAUUGGGUAGACUCUCAAUUCCUUAACUUGGUGUGUGAUGACCUUUCCUAUGGUCCCAGACCCUUCUAGCAGCCCUCUGCUGGCACUCUCUAGCAGCCCCAGACUCAUUCACUCCUUCACCUGUUCUAUUACUUCUGUUUGGAAGGUUCCAUUGCCAUCUUUGGAGCCUGCAGAACUCCAGCUCACCCAGAUUCUCUGUCUUCUUCCUCCUUCUUCCAAAGCCCCUGCUUGCCCUCACAACUCCCUGAGCCCUGAUGCACACACACUGAUAAUGUCAUGUUUAUUGUGUGGAAAUUAUUUUGUGACUUCUUGUUUUUUUUUUAGUAGAUAUUGUAAACUCUUCUCACGCAGAGUUCUUCAGAGAUGCUUGUUGAAUAUUAAAGAAAAAAGUUCACUUUGCUCAUCUCGGUCCUGUUUAAUAAUCUUGAAACAGUUAGAGGUGGAAUUCAGGGUACGAUUCUUGGUGUCACAAAGGGAAGAGACAUUGAAAGGAUGACCUUCUUCUGGAGACGAGGCACUCCCUUCACCAGCAUAUGGAAGUGGAAAGCAGAGCUAGGGUAUAGAGCACUUUCAGAGCGCACGAUUGGAAUAAAAAUGUUUUGGCGCCUUCCUUGGGGCUGCCU